rnacentral:rRNA from 1 species
UGCAAGUCGAACGCGAUUAAGGGGCUUGCUCCUUAUGAAAGUGGCGCACGGGUGCGUAACGCGUAUGCAACCUACCUUUAUCAGGGGGAUAGCCCGGAGAAAUCCGGAUUAACACCGCAUAAAAUCACAGGAUAGCAUUAUCCAAUGAUCAAAUAUUUAUAGGAUAAAGAUGGGCAUGCGUGUCAUUAGCUAGUUGGCGGGGUAACGGCCCACCAAGGCGACGAUGACUAGGGGAUCUGAGAGGAUGGCCCCCCACACUGGUACUGAGACACGGACCAGACUCCUACGGGAGGCAGCAGUAAGGAAUAUUGGUCAAUGGAGGCAACUCUGAACCAGCCAUGCCGCGUGCAGGAAGACUGCCCUAUGGGUUGUAAACUGCUUUUAUCCGGGAAUAAACCUACUUACGUGUAAGUAGCUGAAUGUACCGGAAGAAUAAGGAUCGGCUAACUCCGUGCCAGCAGCCGCGGUAAUACGGAGGAUCCAAGCGUUAUCCGGAUUUAUUGGGUUUAAAGGGUGCGUAGGCGGCCUGUUAAGUCAGGGGUGAAAGACGGUAGCUCAACUAUCGCAGUGCCCUUGAUACUGAUGGGCUUGAAUGGACUAGAGGUAGGCGGAAUGAGACAAGUAGCGGUGAAAUGCAUAGAUAUGUCUCAGAACACCGAUUGCGAAGGCAGCUUACUAUGGUCUUAUUGACGCUGAGGCACGAAAGCGUGGGGAUCAAACAGGAUUAGAUACCCUGGUAGUCCACGCCCUAAACGAUGAACACUCGCUGUUGGCGAUACACAGUCAGCGGCUAAGCGAAA